rnacentral:rRNA from 1 species
UGAGGAAUAUUGGUCAAUGGGCGCAAGCCUGAACCAGCCAUCCCGCGUGAAGGAAGAAGGCGCUAUGCGUUGUAAACUUCUUUUCCAGGGGGCGAACGUUCCGUACGUGUACGGGAGUGACGGUACCCUGGGAAUAAGCAUCGGCUAACUCCGUGCCAGCAGCCGCGGUAAUACGGAGGAUGCGAGCGUUAUCCGGAUUUAUUGGGUUUAAAGGGUGCGUAGGCGGAUUAAUAAGUCAGUGGUGAAAACCUGCAGCUUAACUGUGGAACUGCCAUUGAUACUGAUAGCCUUGAGUUUGGUUAAGGUAGGCGGAAUGUGUAAUGUAGCGGUGAAAUGCUUAGAUAUUACACAGAACACCAAUUGCGUAGGCAGCUUACUGAGCCGACGCUGACGCUGAGGCACGAAAGCGUGGGGAUCGAACA